GCUUUGCAGUUGUGAAUGUUGCACGGAGCUGUUCCUCCUGAAGCUAUUGGCUUCUUAUCAGCAGUUGGGGUCUUUAUUGUUCUUUUGGUCGUCCUCUUCCUCUUCAUCAACAAGAAGAUAUAUUUAGAAAAAAUAGGCCUUCCAUGCCUGGAGCAGCGAGGGAAAAGGAAGCACUCUAAAGACAAGACUGGGGUCCAUGAGGGGCUGGCCUCCUUUCUUUCCUUCC